rnacentral:rRNA from 2 species
GACGAACGCUGGCGGCGUGCCUAAUACAUGCAAGUCGAACGAACUCUGGUAUUGAUUGGUGCUUGCAUCAUGAUUUACAUUUGAGUGAGUGGCGAACUGGUGAGUAACACGUGGGAAACCUGCCCAGAAGCGGGGGAUAACACCUGGAAACAGAUGCUAAUACCGCAUAACAACUUGGACCGCAUGGUCCGAGCUUGAAAGAUGGCUUCGGCUAUCACUUUUGGAUGGUCCCGCGGCGUAUUAGCUAGAUGGUGGGGUAACGGCUCACCAUGGCAAUGAUACGUAGCCGACCUGAGAGGGUAAUCGGCCACAUUGGGACUGAGACACGGCCCAAACUCCUACGGGAGGCAGCAGUAGGGAAUCUUCCACAAUGGACGAAAGUCUGAUGGAGCAACGCCGCGUGAGUGAAGAAGGGUUUCGGCUCGUAAAACUCUGUUGUUAAAGAAGAACAUAUCUGAGAGUAACUGUUCAGGUAUUGACGGUAUUUAACCAGAAAGCCACGGCUAACUACGUGCC